UACGAAAGGGGCAAGCGUUGUUCGGAUUUACUGGGCGUAAAGCGCGCGUAGGCGGUGCGGUAAGUCAGGGGUUAAAGGCUGCAGCUCAACUGCAGUAAGGCCUUUGAUACUAUCGCGCUAGAGUACCAGAGAGGAUGGCGGAAUUCCCGGUGUAGCGGUGAAAUGCGUAGAGAUCGGGAGGAACAUCCAUGGCGAAGGCAGCUACCUGGACCAACACUGACACUGAGGCACGAAAGCGUGGGGAGCAAACAGG
rnacentral:rRNA from 1 species